rnacentral:rRNA from 1 species
ACACGCAUGACACACUGCAUAUCAAUAAGCGGAGGAAAAGAAACUAACAAGGAUUCCCCUAGUAACGGCGAGUGAAGCGGGAAGAGCUCAAAUUUGAAAUCUUAAAGGGUUUCCCUUUACGAAUUGUAGUUUAAAGAAGUGUUUUCUGUUGGAGUUUCGGUAAAAGUUCUUUGGAAUAGGACAUCAUAGAGGGUGAGAAUCCCGUAUUUGACCGUUACUUUCCAGCUGUGUGAUACACUUUCAAAGAGUCGGGUUGUUUGGGAAUGCAGUCCAAAAUGGGUGGUAAAUUUCAUCUAAAGCUAAAUAUUGGCGAGAGACCGAUAGCGAACAAGUACCGUGAGGGAAAGAUGAAAAGAACUUUGAAAAGAGAGUUAAACAGUACGUGAAAUUGUCAAAAGGGAAGCGUUUGACACCAGUGUUGUUUAGUUGAAAAUCAAUUCAAUAAUUUUUGAUUUUAAGUAGUAUUGACUUCAUCAGCUUGCUGCUUUCUUUUCAGGAAUUAUUGAAUGCACUUUUCAGUUAACAAGUCAACAUCAAUUUCUUUUGUUGUAAAAGGGUAAGAGGAAGGUGGCUUACGCUUCGGCGUAAGUGUUUAUAGCCUCUUACCUCUGCAAUCGGAGAGAUUGAGGACAGCAGCGUAGACUCUUCGGGGUUAGAUACACUUGUGCUAAGCUAUAGCCUUGUAUAGACAACUUGUUGACUAUGCUCAGUCAUGUAGCUUACUCGCUUGUGCUAUUUUACCUACGCUUAGGAUGUGAGCGCAUGUCUCUCUCU